CGAAGAUUUAACGCACGUCUUAACAUUCUGUCCAGCUUUAAGGGAAACUCGUAUGAAGUAUUUCCUUCCUCUCAAAGUCCUGGUCACAAAUAUCAUAGGUUGCAAAGGAUGGGAACAACUCUUUAACAUCAACCAAAACAUUGUAGCACUUUUGCUUGAUUUUUCAGUUUUCUACAAUCUGCAAAACCUCAGUAAAACCCAGAAGAUGAAUGUCGAGUCACUGACUAGAGACUUCUGUUACAAAAUACAUAUCUGCCGC
rnacentral:lncRNA from 1 species